rnacentral:lncRNA from 1 species
CUCUGAAACUGGUACUCACUCUGGAAGUGUCAAGCCUGUGAGAUUGCUCAGUGGGUAAAGGUGCGUGCUACCAACCCUGAGGAUCAGAGUCGGAUCUCCAAGGCUCACAUGGUACGGUGAAAUGAGAGACAACCCUGGACAAGGAACAGUAGGACAGUCACAGUGCCUAAGCCAAAGGGCUAUGUAAGUGGAGACUCAGAGUGAAGACACUGGAGAGACCCUGACAUCCUUAUUCUGACUCUUCCCUGGGCUUUUUUCCUUAGGUGAGUCCAUUCAAUAAUGACAUUAAACCAAAGCCAAAGAAAAAUAACUUUACCUAAAAAUACGGAUGAAGAACCGAA